rnacentral:rRNA from 1 species
UACGUAGGGGGCAAGCGUUGUCCGGAAUCAUUGGGCGUAAAGAGCGUGUAGGCGGCCCGAUAAGUCCGCUGUGAAAGUCCAGGGCUCAACCCUGGAAUGCCAGUGGAAACUGUCGGGCUGGAGUCCGGAAGAGGCGAGUGGAAUUCCUGGUGUAGCGGUGAAAUGCGCAGAUAUCAGGAGGAACACCAAUGGCGAAGGCAGCUCGCUGGGCCGGUACUGACGCUGAGACGCGAAAGCGUGGGGAGCGAACAGG